rnacentral:rRNA from 1 species
GAAUACCGGUGGCGAAGGCGGCCCCCUGGACAAAGACUGACGCUCAGGUGCGAAAGCGUGGGGAGCAAACAGGAUUAGAUACCCUGGUAGUCCACGCCGGAAACGAUGUCGAUUUGGAGGUUGUGCCCUUGAGGCGUGGCUUCCGGAGCUAACGCGUUAAAUCGACCGCCUGGGAAGUACGGCCGCAAGGUUAAAACUCAAAUGAAUUGACGGGGGCCCGCACAAGCGGUGGAGCAUGUGGUUUAAUUCGAUGCAACGCGAAGAGCCUUACCUGGUCUUGACAUCCACAGAACUUAGCAGAGAUGCUUUGGUGCCUUCGGGAACUGUGAGACAGGUGCUGCAUGGCUGUC